CGACGUGAGGAACCUGCCUUGGAGUGGGGAAUAACAGCCAGAAAUGGCUGCUAAUACCGCAUAAUGCAGUUGGGUCGCAUGGCUCUGACUGCCAAAGAUUUAUCGCUCUAAGAUGGCCUCGCGUCUGAUUAGUUUGUUGCGGGGUAACGGCCCACCAAGACGACGAUCAGUAGCCGGACUGAGAGGUUGGCCGGCCACAUUGGGACUGAGACACGGCCCAGACUCCUACGGAAGGCAGCAG
rnacentral:rRNA from 1 species